rnacentral:rRNA from 1 species
GACGAACGCUGGCGGCGUGCCUAACACAUGCAAGUCGUGCGAGAAAGUUCCUUCGGGAGCGAGUAAAGCGGCGCACGGGUGAGUAACACGUAGGUAACCUGCCCCCCAGUCUGGAACAACUAGAGGAAACUCUAGCUAAUGCCGGAUGAGACCACGAUCCCUUCGGGGGUUGCGGCCAAAGAUGGCCUCUACUUGUAAGCUAUCGCUGAGGGAUGGGCCUGCGGGCCAUUAGCUUGUUGGUGAGGUAACGGCUCACCAAGGCUGUGAUGGCUAGCUGGUCUGAGAGGAUGACCAGCCACACUGGGACUGAGACACGGCCCAGACUCCUACGGGAGGCAGCAGUGGGAAUAUUGCGCAAUGGGCGAAAGCCUGACGCAGCGACGCCGCGUGGGUGAUGAAGGCC